GUACGGGGGGGGCAAGCGUUGUUCGGAAUUACUGGGCGUAAAGGGCUCGUAGGUGGCCAACUAAGUCAAACGUGAAAUCCCUCGGCUUAACCGGGGAACUGCGUCUGAUACUGGAUGGCUUGAGUUUGGGGAGAGGGAUGGACGGCAAGUUCCAGGUGUAGCGGUAGAAAUGCGUAGAUAUCUGGAGGAACACCGGUGGCGAAGGCGGCGUCCUGGACCAACACUGACACUGAUGAGCGAAAGCCAGGGGAGCAAACGGG
rnacentral:rRNA from 1 species